CGGCCGCAAGGUUAAAACUCAAAUGAAUUGACGGGGGCCCGCACAAGCGGUGGAGCAUGUGGUUUAAUUCGAUGCAACGCGAAGAACCUUACCAAGUCUUGACAUCCUGCGAAUUUUCUAGAGAUAGAUUAGUGCCUUCGGGAGCGCAGUGACAGGUGCUGCAUGGCUGUCGUCAGCUCGUGUUGUGAAAUGUUGGGUUAAGUCCCGUAACGAGCGCAACCCUUGUCCUUAGUUGUUAGCAGGUUAAGCUGAGAACUCUAAGGAGACUGCCGGUGACAAACCGGAGGAAGGUGGGGACGACGUCAAGUCAUCAUGGCCCUUACGACUUGGGCUACACACGUGCUACAAUGGCCAGUACAAAGGGUUGCCAAGCCGCGAGGUGGAGCUAAUCUCAUAAAACUGGUCGUAGUCCGGAUUGGAGUCUGCAACUCGACUCCAUGAAGUCGGAAUCGCUAGUAAUCGUGAAUCAGAAUGUCACGGUGAAUACGUUCCCGGGCCUUGUACACACCGCCCGUCACACCAUGGGAGUGGGUUGCUCCAGAAGUGGCUAGUCUAACCUUCGGGGGGACGGUCACCAGGGAGUGAUUCAUGACUGGGGUG
rnacentral:rRNA from 1 species